rnacentral:tRNA from 1 species
GAUUUAGCUCAGUGGCAUAAGCACCUGCCUUGCAAGCAGGCAGUCAUGAGUUUGAUUCUCAGUAUCG